GUCUACAUAAUUUUUAUAUAACUAAAAAUAUAAUUAACACCUGAUUUUUGAAUAAAAUUAGUUAAGUCUUAAUUAGUGAUAAUGUAAUCUUAAAUCCAUGUUUUCCUGAAAUUUCCUCUUCUUCUUCUUCUAGAAGAUGAUAGGUGCUGGUCGGGCUUGUUAAUGGUGGUGUUGAGCUAAGAUGUGUUGGGUUGGGCCUAUUGUAUUGGAGGAAUGUGUUUGCGGCUGUUUAGUUAGUGGGCUUCGUUUUGUUGGGUAAAUAUUGGAUGUGGUUAGUGGGCUGGUUAAUUGGGUGUUGCUAAGUGGGCCUGCCUGAAAAUAUGUUUUGGUUUGUAGCGGUAACAAAUAAAGGAGUAAUU
rnacentral:lncRNA from 1 species